rnacentral:misc_RNA from 1 species
GUUAGUACCAGCUUGCAA